rnacentral:lncRNA from 1 species
GAAAAACUAAAGUUUCUUGUGCCUAAGAUCUUUUAAAAAAAUAUAUUCACUCAUUCAGUGAAAUUUCAUUAAGCAUCUACUCGGUGCCUGGCAGUGUUUUAUGCAGUUAUAACACUGCAGGACUAGACAAAUCACCUGCCCUCAUGGAGUUUACAUUAUAUUCACAAAAGUGAGGGCUUAGUGGUGUGUGCCUGUAUCUCAGCUACUCAGGAGGCAAGAUUGCUUGGGCCCAGGAGUUGGAGUCCAGAUUAGGCAACAUAGCAAGACCCCCAAAUCUUAUAUAUAUAUAUAUAUUUGGAAAAGCACUCUAUCACAAAUGUAGCUAACUCAGAUUAGUAAGAAUAAUAUAAGUACAGUAAAUUUUAAAUUUGACUGAUUACUUAAGACUCUUUCUUGGGCCAGGCAAGGUGGCUGACUCCUGUAAUCCCAGCACUUUGGGAGGCCAAGGCAGGCAUAUCACGAGAUCAGGAGAUCGAGAGCAUCCUGGCCAAUAUGAUGAAACCCCAUCUGCACUAAAAAUACAAAAAUUAGUUGGGCAUGGUGGCAUGCACCUGUAGUCCCAGCUACUCGGGAGGCUGAGAAAAGAGAAUCUCUUGAACCCAGCAGGUGGAGGUUGCAGUGAGCCAAGAUCAUGCCACUGCACUCCAGCCUGGUGACAGAGCAAGAAUCCACCUCAAACAAACAAAAAAGACUCAAGACCUACAAUGGUUAUCAAUACCAAUCAAUCUCUCAAGUGAUAAAUUAAGCAUGGAUUAUACUUUUUUUGUUUUGUAUCUGAAAGACAAAAUGACUUGGAUUAGCACCUUAAUAUUAGAGGUAAUAUCCACAAUUGGUACUCUUUACAAAAGUCAUGAAACCGGUCCUAUUUAUCCAGUGAAUACCAUGCAUAGAGCCCAGGAUCUCUAGGUCAUUUUCUUUCUCCACAAAUAACCAACAAAAAAAAAGUUCUCUCUGUGCAUUCUUCUAAGGUUUUAGCAGCCUGCAAACCUGUGGGGACAAAUAUGGCUUUCUAAAAUUUGACUUGUAAAAAAA